GUGCCAGCCGCCGCGGUAAGACGAACCGUGCAAACGUUAUUCGGAAUCACUGGGCAUAAAGGGCGCGUAGGCGGCUCCAAAAGUCAGGGGUGAAAUCCGGCAGCUUAACUGUCGCAGUGCCUUUGAUACUGUGGAGCUAGAGGGAGGUAGGGGUCUGUGGAACUUCCGGUGGAGCGGUGAAAUGCGUUGAUAUCGGAAGGAACGCCGGUGGCGAAAGCGACGGACUGGAUCUCUUCUGACGCUGAGGCGCGAAAGCCAGGGGAGCAAACGGGAUUAGAUACCCCGGUAGUCCUGGCCCUAAACGAUGGGUACUAGAUUGCGGACUUACAUGGGUUCGCAGUCGAAGCUAAUGUUUUAAGUACCCCGCCUGGGGAGUAUGGUCGCAAGGCUGAA
rnacentral:rRNA from 1 species